GAAACCCUAAUUUUUGUCCUAUUGACAUCAGUCUCAAUCCCAAUCAUGUCAUGUGUUGUCCUUUUGCAGCCACCAGAGGAAUGGACAGGCGGAGUUGGUUUUGUAUCAAAAGAAAUGAUCCAAGCCCACUGCCCUGCACCUGCACCCGAUAUCAAGGUACCAUUCAAACGUGUUUUCAAUUUUAUUUUAAAAAAAAAAGUAAAUAUGAGAAUUAUAUUGUGAGAGAAAAAAAAAACAUGCAGAUUCUAAGGUGUGGGCCACCACCAAUGAACAAGGCCAUGGCUGCUCAUCUAGACGCAUUGGGAUAUUCAGCAGAGAUGCAAUUCCAGUUCUAGUUCCACUAUUCACAUACGCCAUGGAUUCUACAUAUUGUUGCUCUAUUUUGAACAAUACGAACAUGCUACUACUUAUUCAUAAUAUACUCGAAUAAAGUUUUUCCCAUUGAUGUUGACCAUGACAACAUCCAACAUAUGCAUUUUGUUUGGAAUCUUUAUCCCUCCUUCAUAGAUUGGGUAGAGGGGAAGUUGGUUAACUUUUAGUAACAAACAAAAACAUCACUAUAUAUAUAAAUAUAUACUUCAUAACUUCAUCUUGUUGCAUAUGAAAGAUAGGGUGAAAAUAUAUAAUGGAGGUCUUAUGUUCAAAAUCUGGGUACGUUUCUUGACGGGAUUUACAUCUAAAAUGAUAUGAUUAGUUCUCAACCAUUUUAUUAUAUUAUCUUAAUAAUUUUUUGGCAAUAAAAGCACAAAUGUAACAAAUUCUACAGGGUAACAAACUAAUAAUCAUGUGAGAAGUAGAAUUAAAAAAAAAAUCAGUUUGAAUUAUUUAUUUAAAUGUUAUAAUAAAUUUAGUCUAAUGUCUAAAUCUUUUCUUUUGUUCUAUAUUAAAAAAAAUUAUAUUUGUUUGCCCAAAAUUUAAAUAUCUAAGGGGAGCAUUGUAACACCUGCCUCAUCAAUCCCGAUUUAGGACUUUCGAAAGAACAUGUUCUUGUUGCAACUGUGAAUAAUUAGGGUGCCUUUGGUUGGUAGGAAAUGAAUGAAAUUCGGAGGAAAAUGAUUUUAAUUUGAAUUCAUGUGUUUGGAUGGACUUAGAAGGAGGAAAAGAAUUUUUAAAUGAAAUAAAAUUCACCAUAUGGAGGAAAGUGGAUUUCUUCUAAAGUUUGAUGGAAAACAUUCUUUUGUAUCAAGGAAAUUGAUAGAUUACAAAAAUACCUAUUUACUUAUCAAAAAACCAACAGCCACUACGACCACCAACCGUCACUACUACCACCACCAUCACAAGUCACAACCAGUGCUACCACUGUUGUUGUCACCACCAUAAGUAUUUUAACUCCUUGUUGGAGAAAAUACAUAAUAUUUUUGUUUACAAAAAAUCAUAAUAUUUUGGGUUAGUUUACGAAAUAGUUCCAAAUCAAUUUGGUACCGGUUUCAACCGUUCAAAAAAAAAAAAAUCUUAGGACUUUUCAUUCAAAAAAAAAAAUUUGGGACUAAAGUGUAACUUUUCCGUAAAUAUUGAUAUUUUUCUGGAGAUUUCCCAAUAAAUAAAUAAAAAGAUGUUAUAAAUCAAUAUCUCAAAAAGCUUUUAGAGUAAAUUACACGAACGAUCUCUAUGGUUUAGAGUAAUUUGUACAUUUGGUCUCUAAUUUAUUUUUUUAACUCAGAAGGUCCUUACAGUUUGUCUUCGUUGCGCGCUUAGUCCCUGUUUUACCUAAAAAGACUAUUUUGCCCUUGAUUUUUUUAAUUAAUUUAAAUAAUGUGUGUAAGGUAAGGUAAGGUGAAAUGGAAGUGGGAUCGGGGGUGUGUUUAUUUAAAUAAAUUAAAAAAUCAAGGGCAAAACAGUCUUUUUAGAUAAAAUAGGGACCAGACGCUCGAAAAACAAAUAAUAGGAACCUUCCGAGUUAAAAAAAUUUAUUAGGGACCAAACACGCAAAUUACCCCAAACCAUAAGGACCAUUCGUGUAAUUUACUCAAAUAAUUAUUGAUAGACAAACAAAAAAUCAAAUGAUAUAUUUCGUAUAAAUAUAUAAAGGAACCAAAUAUAAAUAAAAGACUAAACUGCACGAAUGGUCCAUGUGGUUAGUUGAAAAUUGUUACUUUGAUCCAAAAAAAGUUUGGACUAGCAACAGAGGUCCAAACUUUUUAUUUUAUUGCGAGUUUGGUCCGAUUUUGUUUGAAUUUUUUUAUAAAGACGAUUUUGCCCUUGAUUAUUUAAUAUAAUAAUUUUCUUUUAUUACAACAAUAAAAAAAACUAAAAAUAAAAGAAAGUAUUACAAAGUGAUUCCGAGUUGUAUUCAAAUACCCAUUUCUUUGCAGUGGCCAUGACUGAUGUCCUCACAGAGGUGGGUUUACAUCACAAAUGUGGGUUUACAUGGUUUUCAGAUCUAUGACACAUCAUAGAGGCGGGUUUACAAGGUUUUUCAGAUCUGGGAGAGGGGGAGAGAAGGGUUAUUGGAUCUUAAAGAGGUGGAGAGAAGGGCGGCGAUCUGAAAACAACAUCCUAUUUCAUCAGAGCUAGGGUUUUCGGCGAUGGCUUCUUAUGUUGGAGGUAAAGAUCUGUGAAAACCCUAAUAGAGACGAUGACGACUUAUGGUUUCCAGUAGACGAUAUCGGAGAAGGUAGAGGGUGGUGUUCUAGAUCCGAUAACGUAGAAAAUAAGGCAUGAAGAAGAUGUUGGUGGUCGCAUUCUUGAAGGUUAUCUGACGGUGGUUGUUGUGGAAACGACGACGGUGGCUAACGGUGGUGAAGAAGGCGACUGACGGUGGUGUAUCGGCAAUUUUCAUCUUCUUGCAAGUGGUGGUGCAUCGGUGUAUAUGAAAAUGAAAGAAUAUGGAGUUACAGACUUUAAGAGAGAGAGAGAGAGAGAGAGAGAGAGAGUAUUUUAUUUUUCUUUUAUUUUUAAUUGUUGUAAUAAAAGAAAAAUGAAAAAUUAAAUAAUAAGGGGCAAAAUCGUCUUUAUAAAAAAGUGCAAACAAUAUCGGACCAAACUCGCAACAAAAUGAAAAGUUUAGACCUUUGGUGUUAUUCCAAACUUUUUGGGACCUAAGUGACAAUUUUCAACUAACCAUAAGGACCAUUCGUGCUGUUUUGUCUAAAUAAAAUCAAAAUCUUUCUAAAGCAUUUUCCCUAACACUAAGAAUCAUUUCCUCCAAAACUAGGUUCCAAUCCAUCCAUCUCUACUGUUUUAUUUUUCUUUUAGCAACUAAUGUUACAUGAGAAAAUUCG
rnacentral:lncRNA from 1 species